AAUGUUCUGUUGGCUUUUCAUUUUCAGAAACAGUUAAACUAUCGAAAGUUUUUUUUUUUUUAAUUUUUUGAAACAGGAGAUGAUGAAAAGGAAUGAAAGAGUUUGGGAAGAAAUAGUGAGAGAGAACUAGUUGCAAUAGAUGAGUUUGCAUAUUUUUUUCUUUUGGUUUUUUUAUCAUGGAAUACCCAUAUGUAUUGUUGUUGGCCACCUGCUACAAGACACCAAAAAAAUUGUUUUUUUAAAGCCAUGUGUAAAAUGUAUUGUACAAAAUAUAAGCAAAAAAUACACAUGGGUGCCAGUCAUUACAUUACCGACACCAAAAAAAAAACUUAAUCCUUUCUGACAUGAGUGCCAGCCAUGGGGUUGUCGGCACCAUCGUGCAUUGUUCCUUCCAGGUUAUUUUUAUUAAUGUUUUUGAAUCUGGGUUAUUCUUAUAAAUAUUUAAUCUUUUUAGGUCAUUUUAGUAAAAUAGUGUAACACCUCUUACCCGAGACCGUUGCCGGAAUCGAGUACGAGGCAUUACUUAGCUUAUCUUACUAAUUCGGGGCAUAAAAAUUCGUUUUAAAAAUUAAUUUCACUGUUUACAGUAAUCUGUCCAAUCGCGCAGCAGUUACUAAAUUGAUUAUAACUCGAGCUACGGAACUCCAAAUUUAAUUUCGUAAUUUUUUCCUGAAACUAGACUCAUAUAUCUUUCUACCAUAAAAUUUUCAGAAUUCUUGGUUUGACCAAUUAAUACAGUUUAUUAGUUAAAUUCUCCCCUGUUUCUUCACUCGACUGUCCUGACCCCUUGGUACUAAAAAUAAAUUUUCUCAUUAUAGGAUUUUCAUAUGAUAUUACCACUUUUCAAUCAAUACACAAUUCACAUAUUCACAUAUCUCAAUUUAAUAUCUCAUUUAUUCAAUUCAUAUUUUAAUUCAUCCAAUUAAAUAUUGAUAUUCUCCUUAUUUUUAUUUACUAACAUAUUAUUCAAAAUUCAAUAAUUACUGUCAAUAAAUUCAAUAUCAAUACGUAUAUAUAUUAUUCAAUUCAAUUAUGAAACUCACCUCAAUUUGCUUAUCGUGUAUAUUAAUUUAAUUUUCAACGAUUAAUAAUUAAAUUCGAAUUAUAGUAAUACUAACCGCAAUUUCUCUCGAGUCACUCCUUGUCCACUUUCUCCUUUCCUUUCUCGGACAAUGACUCGUACACGACAUUAGCUACGUAAUUAAACAAUUAAAAAUCAUUAAUACACAAUUUCAUUAAAAUAUUUCCUUUUAUACCUAAACUUUACCCAAAUUCUAAUUUAAUCCCUUACCAAUACUAAUUUUAUUUUUCCCAAUCUAACUCUACAUUCUCUCUUAAUUCUUACUAUAAAGUCAAUUUAAUUCCUCAAUUUCACCAUAAAUCCCUAAUUUCGGGAUUCUUUCAAUUUAAUCCCUAUCGAUUCAAAACUUAUAUUUUAUUUUACAAUCACAUUCUUUACUAACUUCUAACUUGAAAUUAAAUCAAUUUAACCCCUAACUAAACCUAUAUAUUUUUCUUUCUCAAUUCAUACCCUUAUUCUACCCAAUUUCUUACUAAACUCAUAUUUAACUAUUUAAUUUUUAUCAUGUUUUCAUAAUUCCGAAUUUAUUUCAAAUUAAUCCCUAAAAUUCAAAACUUAUAGUUUAGUUUACAAUUCAAUCCUUUAUUCAAUUCCAAUCAAAAUUUCUAUCAAAUACAUCCCUAAUUUAACAAUUUAUUCAACAUGAACCAUGCUUAAUAAUCUACUAACUUCCAAAAUUUCAACUUAAAUCAAGUAGUAUUUUGUUCUAGGAUUUCAAAAAAAAUAUCAAAAUUAAGAGAAAAGGGGAUUAAAUUGACUUACCAAAUUACUUUGAACCUUAAAACCCCAAAUUUCUCUUUUUCUUUUCUUUUCUUUCUUUCUUUCCUUCCUUCCUUCUCUGUUUCGUUUUGCUCUCUGUUUCUUUCUUUCUCCCUUCUCUGUUUUGUUUUGCUCUCUGUUUCUUUUCUUUCUUUCUUUGUCAUAUAUAUAUAUAAUAUAAUAUAAUAUAAUAUAAUA
rnacentral:lncRNA from 1 species